GCCUAGGUGGCUCAGUCGGUAGAGCAUGCAACUCUUGAUUUCGGGGUUGUAAGUUUGAGCCCCACCUUGGGCG
rnacentral:tRNA from 1 species